AACGCACAUUGCGCCCUUUGGCAUUCCGAAGGGCAUGCCUGUUCGAGCGUCAUUAUCACCCCUCAAGCCUCUCCGGCUUGGUGUUGGACGGUUCGGUUUUGGUGACAAGGCCCCUCCUAAAAUUAAUGACGGCGGCCUGUCUGACCCCCGGUACACUGAGCUUCUUAACUGAGCACGUAUCGGCUAGAGGGUAGGCAGGUCCCGGUCUUCUUCCUUAACCGGAAACUAUUUCUAAGGUUGACCUCGGAUCAGGUAGGGAUACCCGCUGAACUUAA
rnacentral:misc_RNA from 1 species